GAAAGAGCGAGCCUGGGAGAGCGAAUGCAAGAACAAAACUACCAAAAGUAUUGCCUCAGACAAAUAAACAUAUUUACAUUUUCAAGCUGAAAAAAAUCAAGAAACUAUCCUUUAUUCUCCCAAAAGAAAUUUUUUUGUAUCACUAUUUGUAAAACUUACUAUUUUUCCAAGGCAAGCAGUAGAAACUAGAGUGCUUUGACAUGCUGCCAGCAUUCACAGUGAUUUAAAAGCACGGCCAUGGCAUUGCUACAAACCAUAAUUUAAAAGGGUUGGAAGCUGCCCUUUUGUAACAGGGAUAUACAUAUAUGGAUUUAAGUGUGGGCCUCUGUGACAGAAUUCAACACAAGUAUUAAUCCAUUUAUGGUAGGGAAUUUUUAGUUUUCACCCAGCUCUAAAUCAAUCAGAAAUUCUGAACAGAUGUAUGUUAUAAUCAAGUAACGCAUUUUUAAUAAAAUGCAACUGUUUUAUUAGGAGACUUUAACAAAGGUAAAGCAAAACAAUAAUUCUGUUACUUAAUAUGAUAAAUGACAUGGUUGCAAUUAUAUUAAUUAUACCUUCAAUGUGAAAUAACUGGCUAUAAACUCCUGGAAACCUUGGGUCUGUGUCAUACAUUUCAAUAAACACUCUUUAUCUCUAUAUAUUACUUGAAAGCAUUCCCAGCAGAUAGUGUUUCUUAUUGGGUCAUUAUUAGGCUUCCUGAACCUUUUAUUUUCCUCUACUGUUGUAAUCAUGGGCACACUGAAAAAGGAGAGAGCUCACAGUAAAAGUACACCUUUGUCCACAAGGAUGUCUGUGUCACAACAAUCACACUUCAGAGGCGACAGCCUGGUGCAGUUCAAAGUUCACUGGCCCUGAGAGUGAAAAAUGUGCAUUCUAAUAUCUACUCUGCCAUGGAGAAAGGUUUUGGAAAACUCUGAGUUCAAAUUCAGCUCUGCCAUCUAUAAGCCAUAACUUUAGUAAGUUAUUUAACUUUCCUACGUCUUUGAUUUCUCAUACAUAAUAAAAUAAAUAUUAGGAGGAUUAGGUACAAUCAGGUACAUACAGUGCUGUGGUAAGCAGAAUGUUAACAUGGCCCCUAUGACUUCUGUCCCCUGGUGUUACUUUCAUGAUUAUGUUACUUUUAUAUGGCAAAUGGGAGAUUUUCCAGGCGUGCCUACUCUAAUCAUGUGAGCCCUUAAAAAGCAAUGAAUUUUCUCUGGCUCGCAGCAGAAGAGGAAGUUGGAGGCAUGUGAGGUGCAGGAAGGAUUCUAAGCAGUGGUGCUGGCUUUGAAGAUGGAAGGCAUUGUACCUCAAUGAAUGUGACUGGUUUCUAGAAGCUGAGAGUAGCCAGCCCCCAGCUGACAGCCAACAAGGAAACAGGGACCUUGGUUCUCCAACCACAGAAAAUAGAUUCUACCAACAAGAAUGAGCUUGAAAGCAGAUUCUUCCCUCGCACUUAAAGAUUCAUUCUCCAUGCCUCAGUACUCUGUGCUAUUUCCCAGAAGGCUGAUCCUUAAGGACUACACCUGUGGGAUCCCUUGUCACUGGCAAUGGGACAAUGGGAGGUGCCAGCAGAAAAUCAGAGUGAUGAAGAAUGAGGUCUGGGUAUUUAUCUCCUGGCUUUCUGUAAGUAUACAAGGUGAUAAAAAGGAAAAUGAUUCCUAACAACUUGGGGGUAUGUGGAAGCAGGGGAAGGGGGUGCUGUGGGCUGAACUGUGUUUCCUCAAAGUCAUAUGCUGAAGCUCAAACUCCUAAUGUGACUGUAUUUGGAGCAGGGGCUUUUAAGAAGUAAAGUUAAAAGAUGUCACAAGGUGAACGUCACAAUCCAUUGGAAUAGGUGACCUUAUAAGAAAAGGGAGAGAGAUCUCUUCCUCUCCAGACACACACACACACACCCACACACACCAAGGAAAGGCCAUGUGAGCACGUGGUGAGAAGGCAGCCGUCUGUAAGCCAGGAAGAGAGACCUCACCAGAACUCAACCAUGUUGGCACCUGAUCUCGAACUUUCCAGCCUCUAGAACUGGAAGAAAGUACAUUUCUGUUUAAACUACCAGGUAUGUGAUAUUUUGUUAUGGCAGCCUGAAAAGACAUACAUGGGCAGGGAAGACUUCUCAGAGGUAUUUCUUGAGCUGAGACUUUUUGUUUCCUAGUGGUGGGAGGUAGGGUUUUCCAGGCAGAGAACACCAUGCAAUAAGGCACAAAAUUUCAGGGAAUAGUAUGUAUCAAGCACUUGGAUCAUAGAGUGCUUGGAAGGGAAGUGGAAGAGGCUGGAAAAGCAAGCAGAGGCCAGAUGUUAGGGUUUAAUGUCAAAGGCCAAGAAAUUUGCCUAAAAGAAGUCCAGUGGGAAACUACUGAGGGUUCUUAAGUCAUCUGAAGUAUGUAAUAGUAUCCAUGUUCAAAAGACCAUUCUUGUGAUUGUGUGAGAGGCCAGACUAAUAAAGAGGUAGAGAAUAAUUUAACUCUGAUUUUUGAAAUGUGCCCGAUGGAGCCCUCAGGGUCCUAAGUCAAGGAUCACCAUGAAGCUGGAGGAGGAGGCUAAGUGGGCAGGGUCAUGGGAUCCCAUGUCUACUUCACCCACAUAAGUUCUGUGGCCCUAGACUAGACCUGGAAUCUUUGUUACACUCAGGACAACUAGUCUAGAAUAUUUUACUUCAAAGACUGUACUGAAAGAGGCUACAUAGGGAGGUCAAAGGCACCUGCUUCAGCUCUUUUAGCUAUGGUGAAAAAGUCAGGGAAUUAUCAAGAAUUCUGAGAGAAAUGUGACUGGACCCAUGCCAGGAAGAUGUCAGAACUACUAAGAAAUACCAAUGGGGUGGACUGUUAUCAACCCCAGCUGAAUGACAGGCCAUAUGCAAAGUCCUAGACUAUUAUGGCUCUUAGAUUUUCAGACUACACCCAGUUGAUUAAAUGAGUCUGUGUGAUAAAUUGAAAUGUAAAAGGUUAUUUUCAUGCCAUGGAGAUCUGCUCUUGUCGGAUAUAUUUUCAUCUGAAAAUAUCGAUUAAAAUGAUUAAUAUAGACAUAACAAAAAUGACUAACUUGCUUUAGAGAAAAGAUGAUAUCUCUUAGGAAUGAGCUUUAAAAUCUCACGAGCGGUUUUUGGCAACUGCAUAGCAGAACUAAAAAGAAUGCAGGUUAAGUAUCUCUUACCCAAAAUGUUUCACAAGUAAAAUAAAACAGAAGUGUAUCAGAUUUCAAAUUUUUUUUAAAUUUUGGAAUAUCUGCAUAAACAAUGAGAUAUCUUGGGGAUAGGGCCCAAGUUUAAACAUAAAAUUAAUUUCUGUUUCAUAUACAGCUUAUGUACAUAAGCUGAUGGUAAUUUUAUACAUAUUUUAAAUAAUUUUGUACAAGACACAAAGGUUUGAAUGCAUUUUUGAAUGCAACCUGUCACACGGUCAGGUAUGUGAAAUUUUCCACUUGUGGCAUCGUGUUGACACUCAAGAAGUUUUGGUUUUGGAGCAUUUUGGAUUUUGGAUUUUAUGUAUUAUAAGAUUGUAAGGUAAAAACUAUGCCCAGGAGAGGGCAGUGCAGCCUUCUGUAAAGUUAACUAAUAGGCCCAAUAGAAAAUAGUGUGAGCAUUAAGAGCAGAGAUGUUCUAAUUCAUGAAAACUAUUUUGUGUUAAGUCACUUUACCUUUUUAAAACAUGAGAGACAUACUGCCACUUCUAUGUCCCUUGAAGAGACAGCACAAGGGAGAGCUGCUUAAGUCUUGUAAAAAAAAAUUCUGGAAAACUUUAGCUCCCUAAAACUGAAGAAUUGUAUCAAAACUGAAGAACUGUAUCAGUUCUAGCAGGUUUCUACUGACUUUCCUAUUUUAAACAAUUAUCUUUGUUUCUGAAAACUGAUUCAAUAAACUAGUUUUUAAAAGAGAUUAAUGUCUAAAAUUUUAUUUGUUUAUAUUCUCCUUUAAUUUACACUGUACACAUCUCCAAGAGCUGAUGAAAGUAUUCUAAACGGUUUCCUGUGGAAAUCUGUAGUACAGA
rnacentral:lncRNA from 1 species